rnacentral:lncRNA from 1 species
GUGAUUUCCAAGCCAUAUCUGGGCACAUACUUCCCAAAUCAGGGAAGUUUGGGCCCAUUUGGGUGAGAGAAAAGGGGUAAAUGCUGCACUAUUUAGUGUGAUUCAGGAUCAGAAGCAAUGCAAUGGGAGUCAGUUAUGGGGUAUUAUGGUCUCUAAGAGGAGGGGAUUUUACCAGGCAUGGGAACAAGGGUAUCCUGGAGAAAAUGAUGUCUAAGCUGAGUCCAGAACAGAAAGACCUACUUAAUUCUAACUGUGGUUAGAAAGUUGGUGUUGACAGACAGGGCAUGUGUCAAGCAAAGGUCCAGAGCGGGGAGAAGCAUGUUUCCUGAGAGCAGCAGAGAGUUCAGCAAGGGAUGAGAGUAGGGGAGCAGGGAUGGGAGGUGAAGAAGAGAUUGGAGACGGGGGGAUGGAGAUAGGCACAGGAGUUUGGACUUCAACAUGAAGGUGAGGGAGAACCACAGAAGAGUUACAAAGCCCUGAGAGAGACACACAUGGGACCUGGGCUUUAGAAAGAUGAUUCUGGAAGCAGCCUGAGAAGGGAUUAAGGACAGCAGAAGGGGAGAUGGGAGGCCCAUUAGGACCUGGAUGUUGCAAUAGGCACUUCAGCCCUUAUUUGAAUCUCACCCUUGUCCCUACUAAUGCUCUUUUCUCACCCAGGAUCCAGCCUAGAGUAUCGUAUUACAUUAGUCACCAUGUUUCCGUAGCCAGCUCAGAUCGGUAACAUUUUCUCAGUCUUUUCUUUCUCAGUCCUUUCAUGACCUUGAAGGUUGGGGCCUUUUUCAUUUUGAUAGUUGCUCUUAUUAAGUUGUGUGGGCGAGGGCCAAAGAGGAAGAAAGUCAAGGAAAUGGAUCCGGUACUCACCAGGUGUCAGCAAGGGAACAUAUUUUGGAGUCAGGCAUCCCUGGGUAAGAUUCUGUUUCUCACUGAACCAAGCAUUGUCAAGCAUAUGUCAGAUAGAACACGUAAAAGUACCAAGUACACACAGUGCCUGAUGUAGAAGGUAAAUACUGAUGGUCUGAAAAAGAUUUUUUUUUUUUUUUUAAUUUUUAAAUCUUUAUUUCAUACAGAAGGAAAUGGCCAAAGCAAAUCUAUCUUUGGGGACAAUCCUUUGUUCAUGGAAGACUGAAACUUAAAUCUAGGACUCAACAUAAUGAGGCUGUUUUUAAAAUUUAAUUUUUGUGUUCUAAAAAAUGCAUACUAUGACCCCUCCCAUUGGUCUGUUUAUUUUGAAGUUAAGCUUUAAACUUAACAUUUUUAUUUUAGGUUUUAUCUUCUAUUUUGCCAUUCAGUUUCACAUUCUGUUUCUUUCUGGAGAAAACCCUCAAUGUGGAGAACUUGUAGCCAGCCCCCAGCCCCUAGCACCCAGCCUUGGCUGGGAGUCUGGUCCUGCAUUCAGAGACAUGUGGGUCUGAAGCAGGCCUCCCUGAGGGACCUGAGCAAGUUACUUUAUCUCUUUAAGCCUCAAUUAUUCCUCUGCUUGGAGUUUUAAUUGAGACAAUGUGUGUGGAUGGCUUGGCGUGAGCACUCAAUUUGUGGUAGUGUCACAAGGAAGCAGAAUUAAGUAGUCUUAGCAUAUCUGCCUUUGCUCCUUCCUGUGCAGGCAUGGAUGUUGGGGGUGGUCUUUGCUCUUGGACUUUUACCUUGGCCAUAUUACCUCUUGGGUGGGAGGGCAUGUCUUUCCCAGUAUGUACCUACCUGUACUCCUCAUAUUAGUCAAUAUUUUAGAACUCAGAAGGCUUAGUGGACAGAGUCCACCCUGCUGGAAAUCUGAGUUCUGAGAACUUGCAGUUGGUUCACAUUCUUCCGAUGGGUGUCUUCUCUCCAGGGAACCAGAGGCAGGUGGUGGCAGCUUCAAGGGUGUGGACUCUGCCCAUCUGCUGGGUCAGAGGUGAGACCAAGGAUAACAUGUGUGGCUGAGACUCCACAUGGGGUGGCUCAGCUUAGUUUCUCAGGAGAGGCUAGUAUGCAAAUGGGAGGCUUUGCUUUUGAAAUUAUUUAAAGGUAAGAUCUCCAGCUCCCUCUUUUGGGGCUGCUUCUGAUUCACUGUCCAGGGCAUCAAGGUUGAUCAAGGAAUGAGUCCUUCUCAGGUGAGUUUCAGACAGGGUAGGUGUGGGGAGGAUGACUGAAGUCACAUGGGUAAUGAUUGAGAUGGCAGGUUAAUGGAGUAUCCCUCUCUAUGAGAAAUCAAGAGCUCCAGCAGGGGGCAGUAAUGUCUUUCUUAAAUAGUACAUACAUAUCAUUACCAAAGAACGUGUUUAAUAACUCUGGGUCAGCCUACAAAGACAGUUUUCAAAUUGUGACCAACAGUAAGAAAGAUGCUUUACAUUGUAUUCCAGUACAUACAUGCAUAAACAUACAUAUUUGUUGGACAAUUGCUUUCCAUUAAAAAUACUAUUACAGUUAAAAAAUAUGCAGUAUGUCUUGUUAAACAGAUUUCUUUCACUAACACGCAAUAUGAAAAGUGCUGACCUGGAGGUCGGUCUCUAAAAAAGUAUAGGAGGGUUCUGGCUUCUGUUUUUUCUUAAUCUCAUUUGAUGGACAACCUUUUGACACAGGAGACUAGUAUGUUUCAGAAUAAAAAUACUGGUUGACAUUGAAUGCAUUAGGUCUUAUGCAAUACCUUUGUGAGAAUUCUCUCCUGUAAUCCAGCAACACUUUGAGGUAGAUACUGUUAUUUCCAUUGGGAUUUAUACAAUGGAAGUAUUUUGACUAAAUCUGCAUUAAUAAGUGUUUGGGAUGAGAUUCGAACCUAAGUCUCUGCUGCUGAAACCAUUAUGUUUUAUUGUGUGUCUAUGACAGGAAGAUGUUUGUGGGAGAGAUGCUCUCCCUAAUGUGAUAAUGAAUAGAAGCUAGAUUAAAACUUGUAUCUGCAACUUGCAAUAUUGGAAUGAAAUCAAUUCAAUUGAUUCUAGUGGGGUCAAAAAUUGAUAAUAUUCAAAUGGAAAAUGGAAGGAGGAAAAGAAAGGUUAUAAUGACCAUGUGGAGAUAGGGCAGAAGCUUUAUAAACUAGAUUUUGAAGAUUCCUAGUGGGGAGUGAAUGAGAGAAGGAAACUUGCAAGAAACCUUAGAGUCAACAGAAGAGGUGUAUAGACCCCUGAGCAAGGGGCGGGCAGCCAGUGCAGCCUCUAGGGUCUCAUUCACCAUGAUCUUAUAGCUUGAAUGGUAGAAGCAAAAAAGGAACUCAAAGACACAAGAGAAUAACCGCUUUUGAUGGAAAAAAGCUGUUAGGAACAUCCUCCUCCUCCAAAUAUGUCAUAUGCAAC